rnacentral:rRNA from 1 species
AAGCUCGUAGUUGAAUUUCGGGAUCAAUGGAUUGGUCAUGCCGAUGGUAUGUACUGGUCAUAUUGGUUCUCACCUUCUAAGGAACCAUAAUGUCAUUUAUUUGAUGUUGUGGGGAAUUAGGACUGUUACCUUGAAAAAAUUAGAGUGUUUAAAGCAGGCUAACGCUUGAAUACAUUAGCAUGGAAUAAUGAAAUAGGACAUCGCAUUCUAUUUUGUUGGUUUCUAGGAUCGAUGUAAUGAUUAAUAGGGAUAGUUGGGGGCAUUAGUAUUCAAUUGUCAGAGGUGUAAUUCUUGGAUUUAUUGAAGACUAACUACUGCGAAAGCAUUUGCCAAGGAUGUUUUCAUUAAUCAAGAACGAAAGUUAGGGGAUCGAAGACGAUCAGAUACCGUCGUAGUCUUAACCAUAAACUAUGUCGACUAGGGAUCGGAUGAUGUUGAUUUUUUAAUGACUCAUUCGGCACCUUACGGGAAACCAAAGUGUCUGGGUUCCGGGGGGAGUAUGGUCGCAAGGCUGAAACUUAAAGGAAUUGACGGAAGGGCACACCAGGGGUGGAGCCUGCGGCUUAAUUUGACUCAACACGGGGAAACUCACCAGGUCCAGACAUAGUAAGGAUUGACAGAUUGAGAGCUCUUUCUUGAUUCUAUGGGUG